GCCCACAUAGCUCAGCGGGAAAAGUUUCAGCUACUGAUGUGGGAUUCAUGGGUUCGAAUCCAAGUGAGGGUG